CUAUAAUCUAUGACUAUAAGCUGGAGAAGAUAGAAAUGUUUCCUUCACAACGAUAAUAUGGAAAUCAUCCUUUGAGAGCCAAAAUACUUUCUGACAAGUCAAACAAGUUUCGUGAUUACAUUAUAAAAAGUGACAAAUGAGUAUAAUUGCCAGUUAAAUCAACUUUAGCUGAAUUUCGGCUGUCAGCACUCAGGAGUAUGUGUCUGGCUCUCAGUGGCCAUCAAACACCUGCAAGUUUACUGUAUGGGAAAAAGCGAUAAGAGCGCAGAUGUUCUGUGGAUUCUGUGGACCCUCAAUGACAACUGAUGUGGGAGAAACUAUAAAGUAUAAAACCCCAGGGCCUCUGCAUGGCUUUUGGAAAACACAACACAACAUAAAGAGCAAGACUGUGGCAAAAUAAGAGCAUGCAUGUAGACUAGUAGGUGAACCGGUGACCCAGUUCUCAGAUGGAGAAUUUAUCAUCCAAGAAAGAGAGUGUUAAAGUCCAACACAGGUGGGUGCUGCUCCCCUGUGGGAAUGUGUCAUGGUUUUGUCCACCCUGAGAAACUCUCCCAGUAGAUUAAAGGGUUACAUAUUGCUGGUUAGAUCUUUGCCAAAGCAGACAGAGACACAAAUUAGUUGUGAAAAUGUGGGCCUUGUUGGUGCUCGCUCUUGCCCUCACUGUUAGGGCAUCAGAAACCAGCAACGACACAGCAGUGGAAGAAAAACCUGUCAUAGCCAGAGCUAAACUGAUGGCUCCCAGUGUGGUCGGAUGAGGCAUAAAGAAGCUGCCUGAGCUCUAUCAUUUCCUCAUGGAGCGAUCGGCUUUAUAUGUUCCUAGCAAGUUGCCAAGUGCAGUGUCAGCUCUGCAAAAACUCUUCCAAGUUGAAAUCAUGCAAACCACAACUUGGAAUAUGAUUCAUCGGAGGAGAAGAAUCCCCGUCUGAUAUUCUAUAAUGAAAAGGACGAGGUUGUAAAGACUGUUCCCGUGAAGAAAAUGAAGGCGGACGAGAUCAGCAGCCUGUUGGAGUCUCUGGGUUUCUACAAGAGGUCCCAGAAAGGGGAAGAGGUGCCAGAGGAGUUCCAGCAUUUCCCCCUGCCAGCCCCCAGGGACGAGCUGUGAUGACACCUUGUGGCCAAACUCUGCUUCUGCACUUCCAGACCUGCAUUAAUGACGACUGGGGCCCAAAGGCUGGAACAGCAGCCAGGCCCCCCUCUGAGGACUCGCAGGCUGGGUGCAGAGUGCAGGGUGUUGCUCUGUCAUUGUGUUUAUUUACUAAAUUUAAAUAAAAAUACUAUAAAACACUAAAAAAGAA
ensembl:lncRNA